UCAACUGCACCACUACACGACUGCAGGCCGACAGUUGUCGCUCUUGCUAGCUUCAAUAUAUUUUUAUAAUUGCCAAUGGCAGUAGAGUUGCCUGAAGAGAGAUGAGGUGGACUGGUGAUGCCACUAAUAUGUAAAAUUAUUGAAAGCUCUAACAAACCUGACGUUAUUUUACAAAUAAAAGAAUAAAAUAACUCUAUUAUAUCAUUUGUAAUAACAAUGGAUAGUUUAAAACAAAUAAAUUUACCUAUUUACUAAUUUUUUGUAUAAAAAAUUUAAUUUUGAACAAAAUAUUAAAAUUUCAUUCAAGUGCAAGCCAUUAGUAUGGCCACAACGAAAUUGUGUACAUGCAAAAUGGACAACUGUAUUUUGUUCAAUACAUGAACGUUCAUACAAAUCAUAUGGUUGAUGACAAUGUAGUUUCAAAAUAUUAAAAAACUUAUAUUAAAAAUUCGGAACGAGCGUGAGGUGUAUAGCAAAAACAAAAAAAAAAACAUUAAUCUAACAAACGAUUUUUUUAUUUGGCACAGUGAAGGUAUGACGUUGUAGGUUUUAUGACAUCAACGGUUGUCGCAACCUUGUAUUCUAUAAACAAUAUUCUCAAACAGAAUUUAUUAAAUAUGUUUAUUAAGUAAAGAAGUCAGUAUUUUGACUAAAGCGAUUAUAUUUGUUCUUUCCACGUGGCAUAAGUGGCAUGCGCGAAGACGUUAAGCUCAAAUACAAUCAGGGGCAAUAAAGUUCGAUUCCAGUAAUCGAUUUACGCAUCGGGACCUUAGCAGAUGUCAAUUUAAUAAACUUUAAUAUCAUGUUUUACUUUUGAGAUAAUUAAAUUAUUUAUUUACAAAUAUGUUCAUAUGUGUAUUAAACCUUUAUUAAUGUAUAUGUAUAUAAAUAUGUCAAACGCAGAUACGUUCAUAAACACAGGCGCACAAUAAAACGAAGAGACAAGAGGCGCAGUGCCAUAGUUAUUUAAGCGAUAUUUUAUAAUUGGAUUGUUUAUUAAACUUUUUAAAUGUGUAUAAUUAUAUUGUUACGUAAAUGAGCCCCAAUGUGAAUGUGUUUUUAAAUAUAACUGAAGCGAGAACAAUUGUUUACUUACGUUAUAGAAUAAUUGACAAACAUACUUAUCUAUUUUAUACGCUUAUAUACAUAUUUCCUUUCUCUGGUUUGCCUACUUGGAAGCAGAGAACGUAUAAUAAUUCUCUGUCUGUGUCUAUAAUGUUUAUACAUAGCAGGAAUAAAAUACAUAGUAUGGAACAAAGUAAUAUAAUUUUAAAUGUGAAUGCAAUGUUUCGACAUUACUACCAAAUAUUCACAAAUGAGUUAUCUUAUACUUAAAGCUAAGGAACAAGAAGAAAUUUGAAAUGUGUGGUUAUUAAAUAGUAUUUAUAGUGUACGUAUAUUAGAUUAAAUAUGUACAUAUGUAUAUUACUUUAAAAUUCAAACAACAUUGUAUCUACAUUACUACCAAAUGCUCACAAAUGAAAUGUCGCUUAUAUAUACAACGAUUAUCAUUCCAUUUUCCCACUUCACGGAAUCCCAUUUCAACGCAAAAUUCAUCGCCUCGCCAAUUAUCGGGCAUGUUUGGUAGCCAAUUAGUAUAAUUGAACUGUUCACCAGUGCUGUACCAAAUAAAUUCUUUACGAUUUUGAUCAUAUUUGCCAGAAGUCCAGUAGAUGUAAUCAUUGCCAAUAUUUGGUUUAUCAACAAAGUCUAAAUUUAAGAACAUAAAUGCUUUACAUAUCUAUAUAUAAGAAAUAUACGUAAUAUAAACUUGCUUAUUUCAGUAAGGAAUUGGCUUAGUUUUUCAGUACGUUCUUCCGUAUUGGGAGUAAAGAGUGUCAUAUUCAUGUCGGCGCAGUAUUGUAAUGCAUUGUCCCAAGGUAACUAGAUUUAUGUGAAUAUGUUAAUAUGUAACUAUAUGUAAUAUAUAUAAAUAUGUACAUAAGUUUUGGUAUGGAUAUGAAUAAUACUAAAUAUAUUUGGUUACCUUUAAUUGGUCCACAAUUAAAAAACGAUAUAAGCCCAAAACAACGGAUGUCUCUGCUACAAAUAACAAAUAGCGUAUAUGUUUACAUGUAAAUUAAAAUUAAGACAAGCCUGACGCGAUCUACAUAUACCUUUGUCAUAUGCUGCAAUAAUUGCAUGUAAUGAGAAUAAAAGACUUGAUUUUAAAAACAUUUUCUCUGCAAAUAUUUGAAUGAACCUCUGAACUGGUAAUGAAAUGAAACGGGUAUUUUAUGUGGAAGUAACUUUUCUAAAAUAUAUAUAUUGUAUACAUUUUUACAAAUAAAAACAUUGAUAAGAAAAUUUUUGAUUUUGAUAAGGUUAAUAUGCUUCAAUGCAGCAACUUGUGUAUUUGCUGAUAACCAAAUGUAUGUAUUAGUUAAGAGAAUUGGUGAUGCAUAAAGAAACAACAUUUAUACAACAAUACUAA